rnacentral:lncRNA from 1 species
GUUACCCUGGUCUCAUCCAUCAAUUAUUCAUGAAAGCACGAGGUGUGUUUAUCUUAGUACCAGCAGACAACAAGAACUAAACUUGAGGAGGCUUCUGAAGAGUCACUGGAGUUGGGUGCCUGAAAAUCUGCACUUGAUUAUUAAGGUAAAGUUUGAAAAGAAAAUUGCUGAAAGCUAUCUUCCACAGGAACUGUCGUGUCCCCCCCCCCCCCCCCCCGCUUUCUCUGCUUUGUGUCGCAGUGACUAUAACAUGAAAAUAUGCUUGGUAAAUAUUUACUUGUUCAAAUAAAAAAGCAUUAAGAAAUUACUCAUUCUUAUUUGGAGAACAAGGAAGUUCACGAACAUAAAUUGUUUUUUUAUUUAAUUUUUGGUGACAUCAACAAUGACAGACUUCAUUCCCCACCUCCCAACCCCCAACUCAUGGGUGCGUGCGUGCACGUGCGUGGGGUGUGGCGGUCAGAGGUUGACGAUGAACAGGGCCCUUUACAGAACCCGGAGCUCACUGUUUCCGCUAAACUUCUGCAAGCCCCUGGAAUCUUUCCACCUCUGCCGGGAGAAUGCUUUGCUCACCGUUUUUGUUUGUUUGUUUGUUUGUUUGUUUGAUUGAUGUGGGCGUUGGCCAUGUAAACAGGCGGCCCCUUCCUUGUGAAGCAAGCCCUUCACCCAGUGAGCUGCCUGCCUCCUCCAGCCCUGGCUUUAUUUAGUUUUGAUAUCAGUCUUCAGCAUUCUUGUAGGGCUGAGUGGCUACACAGAGAGACACAGCGCACUGACUCUACUCCCGAAGGAAAAUAUAGGUACAUACGCAGAGGUAUUAGAGUUCCCUGCUUUGGCAGAAACUGAAGUGAAUGAGAUUGAACAUCCAGCCAGGCAUGGUGGAUUUUCGUCCCUUUAAUCCCAAUGCUCAGGAGGCAGAGGCAGGCAGAUCUCUAUGAGUUCCAGCCAGCCUGGUCUGCGUACACCUUUCUAGGCCAGGCAGGGCUACAUGGUAAGCCCUUGUCUCAAAACAAAAACAACGACAAAGGAGAGACAAGAGAGAGGAACAUCCAGUCACUGGGAAUCCUAGCACUUAGGAGCAAGAGAACUGAGUUUGUGACUGUGUAACAAGAAAUGUGCUUUGCGCCUUAACCCAUCACGUUCUGCUGGCUCUCGUUUGUCUGUUCUGAGCCAAUAUUCACAUUUCCUGGAAGUUGAAACAUGUACCUUAUAGACUGACACAGUGGUGACUCCUGACUCAGAGUUACUGAAGGAUGGGAAGAGAUCUUUGUUCUUCUAAACUCUAUGACUCUG